AGGUGUGCACUGAUGAAGCCUCACCGGCUCAGGUCAGGGUGUCCACAGGUGCCCGUGGAGUAGGGGCACAGAUGGGGAAGAAGAGGACUGGCAGGAAGUCCUUGCAGGCUGUUCUCACAGGCCCUGUGCCACCUGUGAUCACAUAACUUGACUCUGGAAAUGAGUGUUUUUUUUUUUUUUUUUGGAGACAGAGUCUUGCUCCGUUGCCUAGGCUGGAGUGCAGUGGUACAAUCUUGGCUUACUGCAACGUCCGACUCCCGGGUUCAAGUGAUUCUCCUGCCUCAGCCUCCUGAGUAGCUAGGAUUACAGGUAUGCACCACCAUGCCCGGCUAAUUUUGUAUUUUUAGCAGAGAUGGGGUUUCACCGUAUUGGCUAGGCUGGUCUUGAACUUCUGACCUCAGAUGAUCCACCUGCCUCAGCCUCCCAAAGUGCUGGGAUUACAGGCAUGAGCCACUGCGCCCGGCCUUUUUUUUUUUUUCUUUUCUAAUUUGAGACAGAGUCUUGCUCUGUCACCCAGGCUGGAGUUCAGUGGUGGUUUCUGAAGAAUGAUCAAACCAUAUAAUUAAACCAAUCAUUUUAGGUAACUGUGUGAUCCUCUAAC
rnacentral:antisense_RNA from 1 species